GGUAUGGAUGGGCCGUAUAAUACUGCUACAUUUUGAGAUGAUGGACCUGUGUCUCGUUGGUGCCAGUCUAGUUGUUGGACUUAGGAGUAUGGCUAUGGGGGUAUAAUUAAUACACAACUACCUAAUCAGUGUCAAGAACAAUAAUACAGCUACCUACUAAUCAGUUUUUCCACUGACUCUUACUCCAAUCAAAUACUAGUACAAAAAUAAAAUCCAAUCAUUGAGAAAUUAAUCAGGAAAUGAAAUGGUACCAUCUGAGAAUUACUACAAACUCUCAGCUCCAAUGAACUCUGCCUGUUCCAUUCUCUGUUGCCGCUGCAUGAUUCCUUGUCGGCAGAGAAAUCCAUUGUCCGAUUCUCGGGAGAAAAGAAUCUGAGAAGCUCAGAACAGUUCUGCUACUCAACUUUAUUUGCACAUAUAUAUCCUCUACUUUAAUUGCAUGAAACCGUUGGCACUUUUAAUUUCUAGUCUGACAUCAUGGGUGCUAUAUACUGCUAGAGACUCAACAUAACGACUU
rnacentral:lncRNA from 1 species